rnacentral:rRNA from 1 species
AAUAAACGUUGGCGGUGUGCUUAACACAUGCAAGUCGAGCGCGAAAGCUCCUUCGGGAGUGAGUAGAGCGGCGGACGGGUGCGUAACACGUAAGAAUCUACCCUUUAGUGAAGAAUACCUCCGAGAAAUCGGGGUUAAUGCUGCAUAAAGUCCCUCCGGGGAGAAAGAUGGCCUCUUUGCUGUCGCUGAAGGAUGAGCUUGCGGACUAUUAGUUUGUUGGUGGGGUAAAGCCUACCAAGACGAUGAUGGUUAGCCGGCCUGAGAGGGUGUACGGCCACAUUGGGACUGAGACACGGCCCAGACUCCUACGGGAGGCAGCAGUGAGGAAUAUUGCGCAAUGGGCAAAGCCUGACGCAGCGACACCGCGUGGAGAUGAAGGUUUUCGGAUCGUAAACUCCUGUUAAGUGGAAGAAAUCUCUAGCUCUAACAUAGCUAGAGGAUGACGGUACC